rnacentral:rRNA from 1 species
CCCUUGGAUGUCCUGGGCCGCACGCGCGCUACACUGACAUGUUCAACAAGCCUCCUAGUUCGACAGGAUUUGGGAAAUCUUUGAACGCAUGUCGUGAUAGGGAUAGAUCAUUGCAAUUAUUGAUCUUGAACGAGGAAUUCCUAGUAAACGCGAGUCAUCAGCUCGCAUUGAUUACGUCCCUGCCCUUUGUACACACCGCCCGUCGCACCUACCGAUUGAAUGUUUCGGUGAAGAUUCCGGAUAGGACUUUUUUGAUUUAUUUCAAUUUUGUCUUAAAAGCUAUCUAAACCUCAACAUUUAGAGGAAGGUGAAGUCGUAACA